AUGGCAGCACCGCCGCCGCCGCCGCCGGCGCUCCCGGACGACGUCGUCGUCGAAGAGAUCCUCCUCCGCCUCCCGCCCGACGACCCAGGUUGUCUCUUCCGCGCCUCCCUCGUCUGCAAGGCCUGGAGGAACGCCGUCUCCCAUCCCCGCUUCCGCCGCCGCUACAUCGGGCUCCACCGCCACCGGGCACCCCCCGUGCUCGGCUUCCUCCACGACUGGGAAGACGGGGGCAUCCCAGACUUCUUCCCCACCACCGCCUCGCCCUUCUCCCUCGCCGCUCCAGACCGCCGGUUCUGGCGCCCCGUCGACUGCCGCCAUGGCCGCGCCCUCUUCCUCUCCGACCGCCGCCAGGAAACUCAGGAACUCCUCUUGUGGGAGCCAAUCACGGGCGCCCGUCGGGGCAUACCGGUGCCCGCGGCGUUCAGGUGCCAGUGGCCGGCCGCGGCAGUGUUCUGCACAGCGGACUGGUGCGACCACCGCGACUGUGCAGGAGGUCCCUUCGGCGUGGUCUUCCUCUUCGCCGGCGAACAAGACCGGCACGUUGUCACAUCGGCGUGCUUGUACUCGUCGGAGACUGGCACAUGGGGCAAGCUGAACUCGAGGCAAGAUGAGUUCACCAUGGAAUUUCAGAACCAUUCCAGCGUGCUGGUUGGGAGGUCUCUGCUCUACUUCCUGUCCGACGGUGGGACGAUCCUGGAGUACAAUUUGGACAGUGGUGUACUGGCUGUGUUGGAUAGACCACCUGACGAUUACGGCAGGGGCCGCCAAAGAUUUAACCUCAUGCUGGCGGAGGAUGGUGGACUGGGGGUUGCCGAAGCCAUUGAUUUUCAGCUCAUAUUGUGGAAAAGGGAGGCGAGUGAUGGCACUGAUGCACGAUGGGUGCUGAGCCGGAUCGUCGACAUGGACAGUUUCUUCGACCCAGUCACACUUGCUCCAGUGUUGGGCUUUGCGGAGGGAGCAAAUGCUAUUUUUGUUAAAACUAUUUAUAGCCUCUUCAUGGUUGAGCUACAGUCGGAGCAGGCGAAAAUUGUGUGUUCUAGUCCUGGUUUCUGUAAUUUGAUUCCAGUUGUCGGCUUCUACACUCCACAUUCUAGGCUCCAAGUGCCCGGUGGUGAACACCACAGCCCAGCGCCAUGGCUGAAACAACUGGGAAGGGGUGGUCAGCAAGGGGUCUGGGAGGAGAAAUCACUAGAAUGGGCGCAGGUGCUGUUUGAUGAGGGGUGCAUGGCUAUCAAUGAGAAGGACUUGGCCUACACGGCUGACUGCUUCAGACAUGUUCUCGAGAUCAGGGUUCGACAUUAUGGAGGCCUUGCUCCUGAGUGUGCUAACACGUUUUACCAUUAUGGAGGUGCCUUGUUAUGCAAAGCUCGGGAGGCAGCCAAUCGUUCAGGGACAAACUUGCGUGGCAAAGGUCAGACGGAUGGGAACAUGACAGGCGAUGGAGAUGAUUCUGUUUUGGAUUUGGCCUGGAAAAUGUUGAAUACUGCAAGGGUGAUAGUUGCCAAGAGUCCAGAGAAGACAAUGGAGAAGGUUAAUAUAUUGAAUGCUCUAGCUGAAAUCUCCAUGACAAGAGAGGACAGAGACAAAUCAAUCGGUUACUACUUCGAAGCUUUAGCGAUCUUGGAACAUUUGGUUGGGCCUGACCAUUUUCGAAUUGUCGAUCUAAACCUCCGCAUAGGUUUGGCAUCCAAGGUUGGAGAUGCAAUCAGAUAUAGUACAAAGGCUAUUUCAUUAUGCAUGUCGCAUAUACAUAAUCUGGAAAUUGCCAAGGAAGCUUUGUUGGCUGAUAUACAUAAUCUGAAAAUUGCCAAGGAAGCUUUGUUGGCUGAUAUACAUAAUCUGAAAAUUGCCAAGGAAGCUUUGUUGGCUGAUAAAGACCUUAGAGCAUCUGCUGCUAAAGGACACUCAGGAAAGUCGACUCUGGAAGAUGAUAUAUCUUACCUUGCUAGAAUGUCGUCUCGAGUCCAGAAGAAGCUUGAAGAACUGAAGCAAGCAAUGCCAACCCCAAGCGACGGCAUGGAUAAUAUUAUGAAGAGGGUGGUCUCACAGGCAAGUCAUGAGCAGAAUGUUAAGAAUACUAUGGCAAGAACUGCAUCUUUGACUUGUUCACAGAUGACACGAUCAAACAACAGUUUCCAUUCCCCAACUAUGUCAACGGCAGCACCAAGAGGAAGCACUGGAAGUAGCGUAACCAACUUUGAGAUUGUUGGCAGAGACAUGAAACGAGCUAAAGAUGAGUCGAUCUCCUACGAACCUUCUCCAAAGAGACUUGCGAAACCAUUUUGGACGUUACUGUAG
rnacentral:rRNA from 1 species